GACCGGGUAGCUCAGUUGGCAGAGCAUUGGGCUAGUAUUCCAAAGGUCGUAGGUUCGAUUCCCACCCUUGCCA
rnacentral:tRNA from 1 species